CCUACGGGAGGCUGCAGUGGGGAAUAUUGGACAAUGGGGGGAACCCUGAUCCAGCCAUGCCGCGUGUGUGAAGAAGGCCCUCGGGUUGUAAAGCACUUUCAGUGAGGAAGAACGCCUGGUGGUUAAUACCCAUCAGGAAAGACGUCACUCACAGAAGAAGCACCGGCUAACUCCGUGCCAGCAGCCGCGGUAAUACGGAGGGUGCGAGCGUUAAUCGGAAUUACUGGGCGUAAAGCGCGCGUAGGUGGCUUGAUAAGCCGGUUGUGAAAGCCCCGGGCUCAACCUGGGAACGGCAUCCGGAACUGUCAAGCUAGAGGGCAGGAGAGGAGGUAGAAUUCCCGGUGUAGCGGUGAAAUGCGUAGAGAUCGGGAGGAAUACCAGUGGCGAAGGCGGCCUUCUGGACUGACACUGACACUGAGGUGCGAAAGCGUGGGUAGCAAACAGGAUUAGAUACCCCUGUAGUC
rnacentral:rRNA from 1 species